GGAAGACGCUGCCUCUGCAGCUCUGCUUCCAAGGGGCUGGCUCCGUCUCCUCCCAAAGUCGGCUGGGCCCUGAGCAUCAAUGGCAGCUACAGUUUAGAGUGCUUACAAUGAGCAGGGCACUUUGGCAUGUAUUUCCUCAUUUAAAUCCUCAUGACAACCCUGUGAAGCGGCUUGCUCAUUUUACAGAUGAGCAAACUGAGGCACACAGUGAAGGAACUUGGCCAUGGUUGCCCAGGGAGGAAACGGCUUAGACUGGAAUGUGAACAGGUCCUCCCACCCCAAGCCUGAAUGCCUGGAUCACUACCUACAACCUCCCCAUUAGGUCUUACAGGCCACUCCGAUGGCCAGGCAUGGGGUGGCUCCUGUCACCCAUCAGAGGGCAUCUGCCUAGCUGCCCUUGGCCUACAAAAGCCUCCCCAAUCUGGCCCAAAGUUACCUCCUUCCUUUGUUCCCUCCCCCUGGGUCCCGAGGGAUCCUGCUGCCACAGCCCAGCAGGCAGGAGGCCAGAUCCAGGCUGAGAUACAGAGAGAGAGUCUCUGUGAGCCGAGACCCAGCCUGGGGCGUCACAGCAGGAGACGUCAAAGCUGGGCCAAGCUCAGUGGGACGGAGAUCAAAGCCAGCGGGGGGUGGCAGAGCAACAAGGAACAGAAAGGAGCAGGGGUGAGGCCGGUCCCAUAUCAUUCCUGUGGCUGCACGGAUGGGCUGGGGCCUCUUUGAAGGUCUGAGACAUCUGCAACCCUGGGUGCCAGACAGAAGGCCUCCUCUCCUCCCUGGUCCCCUUGUGGGGGGCUGGGGGCCCAUGAAGUGGCGGUCGAGAAGUUGUCUUUCUAGCUGCAGUCCUGCCAUUUGGGCAGCUUCUGGCCACCAUGAGAGAAUCGGUGUCACCAUGUCCAGCUGAUGUCAUUCCAGAUCACUGCAAAGGAAUGUGGAGUGUCCAUCAGCCCAAGUGACCUUGUUUGGAGUAACUACACCAUUGCAUGAGACUCAGAAAUUGCAAAAAUGCUCAGGAAUCCACAGAAGAAUCUCAGCCAGCCCCGGAGCCCCGGGAUCCCUGGACUGUGUAUUUCACUCUUGCCAGGGGUGCUGGUGCCAGAGGUCAGCGAGCUUUCACCUCCAUCCCUCCUCACUGCAGGCCGCUUCAGAGCCCCUCAGCCCAGCCGCAGUGCUGAGGCCGAGGAGGGAGGAAGAAGAGGACAGCUCCUGGGAGAGGCCACUCGGUGUCUGGCCCUCCAAAUGCAUGGAGUACAGAAACUUGGCUGGGCGCAGAAGCACCUCGUGACUGUGCAAAGCAAGUCCAGAUGGCAUGAGAUACACCACCACUGAUGCCAAGAAAUCCUGGGUGUGCCCCUUGGGGUGUCCCCUCCGAGGGCAGCCACAGCCCGGGCAUGGUGCACUCCUGACAAGUGGCCAAAGGCGCACAGAACCAGCAGCCUGCAAAGAAAAUUUGGUGAAUGCGGUUAGAUCAUGUCAACUUUAAUGUGCUUCCAGAGUAUUAACAACACCUCUGCAAGGUACCAAGGUACCAAGGUACCGUGUGACUCUUCAAAGGCUUCCCACAGGCCAUGUGUCCUUUAAGCCUCAUUCGAGAGAAAGACAGAACAGAUACCAUGGGGAUUGCGAAAGAUACUGUGACAAAUCUGAGGUCCAGCAAGAUGGCGGUGGAGAUGCGAGGACUUGAGCCUAGUUACUCACACCAGGCCUCAUCCAGAGGAUGCACACAGGGACUGUGUACCAUGAAGAGGCUGUCCGGAAGUUAGGAGCAGGGUCAGCCCACACAGUGGGGCAGAUUGUGCACUGCAUCAGGGCAUCCCUACCAAAGGGGUCCCAAUCACAUCUUGGACAUGGUAGAUCUGCAUGUUUAUUCCAUUUCUCUGGAUUGCAAUAAAGUGUCUAUUCUAAUAAAAUCAGUAUAAUACUUUCCCAACUGACAGAAGUAACAUGUCUUGGGAAAGGGUCCUCUUUUUCUAACCUGCACAGAGGUCCUGCAUGACUGGCAGCAACCCUGAUAGAAGCCACCCAUAUCUGGGAAGGCUGUACUUUUCUGGAAAGAAGCCAAAAGGAAGAGUGGUCGUCUUGCUACUCCCCCAGAAAUUCAGCUGCCCUAAUGGCAGAGGAAUCUGGGAAAGGGAGCAUGCAGGAUAUGUGUGUCUACAAAUCAACAAGACAAAAGACAAACAGUCUCAGAGGAAAAUGGGCAAAGGGCUUAUCCACUGACUCACAGAGGAGAAAAAGGCAGGGAACGCGUGAAGCAGGUGCCCUAGAGACCCAGCAGGUACCUUGCUAAACGAGAUGGUGACAGGACUCGCAGGACUCAGCGUACCGUGACUGCCCCCCGCCAAGAUGUGCUGUGUUUCCGACUAGCUCUCUGAUUCUCCAAACCAGCCCUGGUCCUCAGCUUUCCUGUGGAGAGACCGCUUCUGUGGAAAGGGCUUGUUUCAGCCCAUCGGACACUGAGAAGAUCGAGGUGGCGAGCCUCGGAAUCCUCUGGGGCACCCCAGGCUGAGAAACGUUGAAGACCAGAGGCUAGGAAGCCACCAGCAGGAAAGGGGCUCUGGAGGGGACUUCUGAACUUGGAGACUCCUUCUUCCUUUCACAAAACCCUGUUAUUCCUCCCAAGGAGAAAUCACGCCUAGCUGAAAAGUCUGAGGACAGGGUGACAGCUGGCAGCCGCUGUGGAGGCAAGCAGUCCAUACCUUCAGCCUAUUGAGUCCUGGUUGCCUUUGAUGUAGGCAUUUCCUGUGGUCCAGCAAGUGAGAGCAAGGUGGGAAAGGCUGGCAUGGGGAGUGUCUGCUGACCCUAGCAUUUCCAAAGCGAAACCUUCCAGUUGCUUCUAGAAUCUAGGCCCUGCAUUGUAAAAUGUUGUGGGUGCAGGCUGCCCCACUCGAUCCCCAUUUAGGAAUUAACUAUUUUAAAGUAACAAAGAGAUUUCACUCUUCUUCAGCCGUCCAAGGGACACCAUUUAUCCUGUCUGCAGAGCAGCAUCAGUGACAGGCUAUGGGGGUGGGAGGCAGGGGUGAGAGCAGAGGCCCAGCACAAUACAGAAGUCCCUGACUCGCUGUUCCUGGGCCUCCCCAGCCCCACGGGUGUGGAUGCAAAGAAUCCUGGGCAGGGAAGCCAGAGAAGAGCCGCUGGGAACUAACUUCCUAACUGCCUUUAUAGCUGACGUCCCCUCUCUGGGUCCCUGUUCCUUGCUCCCACAAAAUCAAACAUUUGACUGGAAGGGACUGCAAGCAGCUUUCAACGCAUACCCUAAUUCUGAUCCAUUCGUAGAAGCUGCCUGCAGAGCCAUGUUGAGGGUUUUGAGGGCUGGCGGGAGGGAGAGAGCUGGGAUGCAUUAGCAAUGUCUGCUAUGAGGAUGGGAAGGAGAGCAGUCGCCCUUUCCCUUGCUAUAUAUUUACCACUCCUGCCGUUGAUAUCCGAAGUCUUCUUUGCCCCAGAUCUUGUAGGAUUUUAUGAUUCCUCUUGCCUGUGCUGUUUGCUUGACCUUCCUCAAGGAGCUAUUUCAGGGGCUGUUCCCACCCACCAGGAACUGACAGUGGCCUGCAGAUGUUUGCUUGUAGGGCUGGGCCAUGCGAGUUAGUGAUAACCAAGGCCAGAGUUAGUGAUAACCAAGGCCAGAGGUGCCCGGCUCUCCUUGAGACCGGAAAUAAGCUGAAAAGUGAGUCUUUCUCUGUCAACGCUAUCCUGAGACCCACAGGGCAUGAAGCACAGCCAAGGCGGAUCACCCCUUCCAAGAUGACCCACUCUGAGACAAACGCAGGAUGCGGCCUCUAUCCACAUAGUUUAGGCACAGAGGACUGAGAAAGCCAAAGACCACAUGAAAAAAGGGAAAAGAAUUUUGAGCAGAGGCCUCCUGGGAGUGGGGUGGUCUCCCUGUGGGUAAAGGGGAGACGGUAACAGUGCCUCCUCUGAGAGGGGUCCCUGUGACAGUGCAAGGGGAUGAUGCAUGCAAAGUGCUCAGCACAGAGCCCGACACCAGUACUCAUCCCUAAUAAAAGCGAUCCGGUGGCCAUGGCACUAUUCUCUAGGAUCACUCUUUGGUGGCAUUGGGCCUACAGAUGUUAAGUCUCCUCUGAAGCUAGCCCUCCCCUCCGCAGGGUGGGAGCCUGCUAUCUCACCAUUGGGGCCCCGAGUUGGCCAGUUCCAAUAACACGAUUAGUCAUUUUUCAUUCCUGAGAUGUCUACCCAUGGGUGGGUGCAUGUGUGCAUGUGUGAGUCCGUAUGUGCCUUUCAGAGCAGGGGAAAAUCCAUAUUCUCUCUCUUCUGACCGAAUUAAUCAAAUAAAUCUUCUGUAAGGAGCUGCUAAAUGAAUCACAGAUGGCUCUGCCCUUUUACAGGUUGCAGAAAGCCCCCGUUACAGUUCUUUUAAUUUAUCAGAGGAAAAAAGAUGCCCUCGUGUGCCCCGUCCCGCUUGCAAUAAUAAUCAGAACCAGUCUAUUUUCCAAGGGUCCAAGACUCAUUUUCCAAAAAUGUGUAUCAAUAGAUGGAACCGCGGGAAGACUAUUUUGCCAAGUUCCAGCCUCCAGCAAGCAAAGGUGCCCUGGCUGGGGAGAGCGUUUAUAAAACCACAUUUAAUAAAAGAGAGUGUUAUAUUAAGUAUGUUUGCUAGUGUAUUUAAGCAUAUGGUUUCCAUAUCAGGCGUAAAGAUGGCAAACACAUGGUUUACCUUCUUUCUAACCUUUCCGAGAGACGUCCUUUCCAGGGGGUGGUGGAUGCGAGUGUGUGUGUUGUUUUGUUUUGCUUUUUACAACUCUGGCUCACAUGGAAAAGCUCUGCGGAAUGUUCAGAAAACAUGUGAAGACUCCCUGCCUUUUCUAUUUAUGUAAUUAGCCCAAGAAACUGGCUCUGCUGACUUUUUGCCAGUGUCCCAACGUUCUCGCAGAGCUCCCUUGCCUCCUCCAGGGUGCUGGGGGCUGGCGGACUUUAAAGUGUGAAUCAUUUUCAGCUGCAAAGAACUGGAGCUCCUGGACUUUAAACGUGAACCCUUUGGUAAGGCGAGAACUCCCAGGACAGCUGCCGGCCUUUGUGUCCACGAGUCCCUGUUUGCCAGUGAGCCAUCCCGCUCCAGGAUUCGUCUGCCCAGAUAUCCCCUUUUGGUACUUGAGUAGGGUGUUGGGAGUUUUAUCUUUUUCCUUUAGGUCAGGGGCAAUGGGCUGUGGCCUUGCGGGCCUGGGGUCCCCAGAAAGGCAGCCAGGAGAGGCCUCCACAGCCCACCAGCCUAAAACAAUCUAGACAGUCCCCCAAAAUGCCAAACUAGGAAGGGAAUUGGGUGGGGGCAUCUGCAGCGAGGCCUCCCUGCCCACCCCCGCCAGCCCCAACAGAUUUGCCUGAGCGAGUUAUAAAUCUAUGGGUACCAUUUCUUUUUCGUCACUUGCCUAAUCCUGUGCCCUUCGUUUCAUGUGCUGUAAUUAUUAACAUCUGCUUUCUGAGCCCGGGCCCCGCGCAGUUUGCAAAGGCAGUUUUCAGGCCAGAACAAUGGUGACAGCUGUUUCAUUUAGCCUAGGGCCAGCACUUCCUGUUCUGUCUACAUCUGCCCUCCUGUGUCCAAUUUCUGUUUCGGGGUUUUGUGUUUUGUUUUCUGGGGUUUUUUUCCUCUUCAUCUGACCUUACUAUAUGUUUAAGAAGAAUUUCUAACUUAGCUCUCCAGCUAGUAUUUCUAGCACAUAUGUGUAUUAGAUCGGCAACAGCCAGAGAGAGAUAGGAGAAAGCCAGGAUUGUCUCCAGCAGCUCCCCUGUGGAGGGCGAGGCAGAAAGGAGGCUCAUCAGGGACCUGGGGAAACAGGCUCUAAGGAAAUUCCUGGGCCUUGAAGUUGAGGAAGAGGCUGACCCCUCUAGAAGUUAGACACAGGAAAAAUGGGCUUAGCUCAUCUGUCCCCUGGCCUGGUGUCAUCUUCAAGGCUUAUUUAGUAAAGGGUCACCCAGACAUACCACUGAGGGGCCUGUGUGUCUGGGUGGCCACCAACACACGGGGGCCCUUCUUCUCUGGGAACCAGGCAGGCUUGUCAGGUGGGGCAAUUUCAGAGACCCCGGAUUCACUUUUUCCCACUGAGUCUCCAAGAGCGCAAUAAAAAAUCCUUUCUAUCGCACAGGGUGGUGCACGGAAUGGGCAAAGGAAGUGUUGGGAUGAGAGAUUAAAGGAACCAGUUUGCGAUGAUCCGCCCAAACUCCUUUAGCAUAAGCGGUUGUGUGUGACUAAAGAGAACGGAGAAUGCGCCCGCUCCUGGCCUUCCAUCCCCCCACCUAUCCCAACUCCAUCGCACCCAAGCCUGAGGUCCCCGGCUCUGUCGGCACACAGAUGCCAAGUUAUUAUUUGAGACCUCACCACAAACGCCAAGUUAGAGACCUCAAGAUUUGUGAAAGCUGCCCUCAGGCAUUGCUGGAUAUUUAUUGCCAAAAAGGGCAAAAACCAGUCUCCACACAGAUAAGGACAUACAGGAAUUUGUAGCUGUCCUGUAGAUGUGCAAAGCAGAACAUAGGAGUCAGGGACGGUGUGCUCACUGAACUCAGGACAUCCAGAGUCUGCGUCACUGCCUUUCACAGGAUCUCAGGGCAUCAGGAUUGGCAGGGACCCUGGAUCUGAUGCCCCCCUGCCCCAUGUUCUUAACAGAUGACGAUACUGAGCACCAGAGGGAGGAAGUGGCCAUUCUCCAGGCGGAGCUUAGUCAAGCUUGAUUCUAUCAGUAGAUACAGAUCAGUAGAAGCAGAUGAAGAUCAAUCUGUGUUGCUUCUAGGAGCUUGAGGCAUCUUCGCUAUCUCAGUAUGAAAUGUCUCUUUCAAUCCAGGCCCUCUCCGCCCUUCUAAGGGCGCACAUGAAAAUCACUCGGGACCCCACCCCCAGAUGGGAACAGUGAGGCGAGUUAGAGACUCCAGCUGUGGCUGUCAGUGCCCAGGGCCCACUCCAGGACCAUUUCUUCUGGCUGCCAGUGGAGAGCUGAACCCAGCAAACCUGAGAAGUGUUCCUGCCAACUUGGCAUCUGGGGGUCACAGAGGUUCCUGGCGGGUGGUUUAGGGCCCCAGGUCUUUGCAGGGUUAAGUGGGCGAAGGAGGAGCUCAGGCAUGAAAGAGAUGCAGCUGAGAACAUCCUUCUCCCCCAGCAUCCCCGCCAGGUGUCAGGUGUGCAGAGUGGGGAAGGCCCCAGACUCCAGGAGACCCACCACUUCCCACCCUUGACUUGAGCCUGGGUGGCUGAGACACCUGGCCCAGGCAGGCACAGGGAUCACUGGGGACUUUCCCUAAACUCUGGAAUGGGGGAACAGGAACCACAGGAGGUGGCGGGGGCAGGGCUGAUGCUGCUCUGCCUGCAGGCGAGCCUGCUCCCUCCGGCAUCCGGCAUCCGCUCUUCCUGGCCGCCAGCCCCAGCCCCUGCCCCUGCCCCCACUCAGUCUCCCUGCUCCCUCUGCACCCUUCCUUCUCUUUCUCACUCACUCCUUUUCUUCUUAAAGUUAAUUGCAACUUUUUUCUCAGCGCUCUGAUCUGGAUAAGCCACAUCUCAUUAGAAAAAGAUUUAGCUGGAGCCAAAGCAGGCUGGAGAAGGAAUCCCUAAUCAACAGAGAAAAGAUUUGGGUGUAAUUGCUCUCUCCCGCUCUUCUCGCUCCCUCCCACCUCCAAUCUUUCUCUGCUCAUUAAUCUGAAAAGAAAGUCACAAACGUCUCAGUGCUCAAGUACCUGCUGCUGGGGCAAACAAAUCCGAGUGUUGGGGGUUCUCUUUUGUGGGGGGAGUCUGGACAGAGAGAUUUGGUUGUUGGAGUGAAUGAGUAAGGCAUUGCGGUAGUUGGGGGUGUGUAUGAAGCACCUUGGUUGAGGGAGUAAAA
ensembl:lncRNA